rnacentral:lncRNA from 1 species
UUUUUUUCUUUUUAUCGACAUGUGUAUAUAGUUUAGGGUUUAGGGUUUUAGGGGUUUAGUUAUUCUGGCUAGUUUUGUUAUUCUAUUUUUAACGAUUUUGAAUUGAUUUUCUUUAUUUUUUGUUUCAAUUUCAUCGUCAUGAUUUAAGGUCGCUGUUGUUCAUGUUUUGUUGUCCACAAUUGCUGCUUCCUUUUAAUUCAUAUGUGUGGAGAGAUCAUCAUGUUUGGAAAAAUUAUAUUCUUUUGAUUAAACUUUCCAUUCUUGCAAUUAGCAAAACUAAAUAUUUGAGAUAUCUUCCUUUAUAAGAUAAAAUUUUCUUUGCGUUUUUAACUCAAUUUUGUUUUCCUUUGUUAUUUCUUUAACUCUUUAGCCUGGCUAGUUUUUAACUCUCUUAUAUAUGUUCUUUUUUUUUUCCGCCAAUGUUUCCUAUAUUAUUGUGUUUAAAUGCUAAACCCAAUGAUAAUAUUUUAGUAUUUCAAUGUUUUAAUUUUUUAAAUGUUUCUCUGUAUGAUUGUAUGUUUUGUACUCUCUUUUCUCAAUACUUUGUUUAUGAAACCUUUAUAUGGGCCCAAACAAGAUGAAAAUUUAAAUACAAUGCCGACUCAAAAUCUGAUAUCAGUCAUAUGGGCCUUACCAAGCUCCAAAUAAGCCCAGUCCAUAUUUAACCCAAAUCUAAAUUGAUGCAUAUAGGCUCGCGUAAGUUACAUAUGGGGCCGAGGAAGAACUCCAAGACUUAGCCCAAGUCACACCCAAUUAUGUGGACUUUACACAGUCCUAUCUCAUGCUUGGGCCUUUAAAGGCCUUUCGGGCUUUGCGGACUUUUGGGCCUUCCGGGCUUACUUUUAUGAGUUUUAUUUGGUGAAGGCCUUGGGGCUUGGGGCCUUGGGGCCUUUUAAAGGCCUUCAGGCUUCGGGCUUUUAGGACCUUUAGGGGCUUUAGAAUUUCGGCCUUCAAGGUAUGGGCCGCGAUUGUGUGUGAAAAGCCCGGCCUUCUUUCCUUAUUUGGUAAAGUCUGUUUUUGGUGUGUUUCGUUUUUUACUAAAAAGGGAAAGUUUGGUUUUGGACCAUGUGUAAUCCACCGUUAUUAGCUUUUUACCCCACAUACACCCAUCAUAUGCUGGUCCCACAUGUCGGUUUAAUAGAAAUUUUGAUUUUGAUUUUUUUAUUUAAUUUUUGGUUUUGCAAAAAUAAAAAUGUGUAGUUGGUAAUAUAAGCAAAAAUCAACACGGCACAAAAUAUUGCCUUCUUAUGUAAUAGUAUAUAAACAAAAUUUUUUCCCUUUUUUUUACACAUCCCGGUUAAUGUUAAUUACAUUUCCUAAUUAAUGCAAUUGACGUGAUGCAUAUUCCAUAUGAAAUUAUCUGUUAUCAAAAUAAUAUGUGUGAUACUUGUUAAAAAAGACAUAAUGUUUUUCUUUUUUUUUUUCCAUUUUUUCUAUUUUUUUGUUUUUUUUUUUUGAGAGAGAUAGAACGAUAGUAAAUAAUCCCGCUACGUUCAUUUUUUAAAAAUUUAGAAAUAAAAACAAUUAUAAAUAUAAAGCAAUAAAGUUUCGACCUUAAAAUCUCUGAGUACUGAAUAAUAAAAGAAAAGUCCUAAGCCAGAAAUGCCAGAGUUCAGUGUUUAGGUUUUAGGGUUUUUAGGGUUUAGGGCUUUGUUUAGGAUUUAUGAUUCAGAGUUUAAUGGCAUAAUAUAGAAAUCUAAAAGUUUGAGCCAAUAUUUAAUUCACUGAUUUGUUGCUAAAUAGCACAUGCUUAAGUUUUAUUUUUAUAAUUGUCAGACAUUUAACUUUCAAAUUUGUUUUCAUUUAAGUAACUUUAGUAGAUUAAAUUGAGAGUUUUAUUAAAUUUAUUGAUAAUUUCANUGAUAUUGAUGGACAGUAUUGAUUACGUUUUUGGAGAUGAAAUUUUUAGUAUAAUUUUUGAAUUUCUAUAGUGAAAACCUGUAAAGUUUGCAUUAAUUUUUAUCACUAAAACUCGUUAGAUUUUCCUCCAUUGCAUUUUCUAUGUUUAUUUAACUUUCUUUCUCCUUAUUCUCUCAUUUUACUGAUCAUCAUUAAGCCACUCUUCUUUCUCUCUUUUUUUCCAUCUAUUUCUUUGUCCGUUCUACAAAAUGCUACAGAAUUUGCUCUAUUCUGCGUUUUUCUUCCUUAAUUUUGAUAUAUAUUUGGGAACCACAAUUUGAACAUUUAUUGGGGGCAAAGCUAAUCAAACUGCAGAUAAAUGUCCAAGACGAAUCUAAAUUGAAUUAUACGGACAUUAUCUGACCCAAUUCCAGCCCAAUGGGAAAAAGAACCCAAAUAUGAGGUUAAGCAUUUAGGCUUCCCCAAAGUUAUAAAUGGGCCUGGGUGUAAGCAAGUCUAAAACCAAUUACAACAAAUGUUAUGGGCUUUGCGUUCAGGUUUAGGGCCUUAAGGAGCAUACUUUUCUGAAUUUCAUUUUGUGUAGGGCCUUCGGGCUUGGGCGCUUGGGGCCUUUUAAAGGCCAUUCGGGCUUUCGGCUUUUAGGACCUUUAGGGGCUUUAUGGAUUUUAGGCUUCCGGGUACAGGCAUCGGGCUUUCAGCCUUGGGGCAAUUUAAAGAACAGUGUCGGACCUUAGGGGGCUUUCGGGGCUUAAGGAUUUCGGCCUUGGGGCUGUAUGGUUUUUUGUUUUAGGCUUUAAGCUUCGGGCUUUAGACAUUGGGGCUUGAGGUUUAGGGUUUUAGGGUUUAGUUGUCCACUCAAAGCAAAUCUUUGUAAUAUCUCUAACCAUUUCAUGUACAAAACGGAAUGGAUCAUGUGACAUGCACCCCACCACCUCAAGAUCAACUUAGAUUCGCCAUGCAAUAAAUAUAUAAAAAGACUACGCCACGUAUCAUUAAUAUAUUCAUUCAUUCAUGUUAAAAAAUUGUACCAAACUUUUCCUUUCUCCCCAUGGCCAUGAGAAAGGAAUCAAGCCCCCCAAAGCAAAAGCAAAGCUUGAAGAUAAAGAGCAAAGAGAGAGAUAUAAAAACGCCAAAAAUAUUAUAAAAAAAGCAUCUUUAACAUCAAAGCUCUCUUUACCUUUCAUCAUAGCAAACCCCCCCUAAAGCAAUUAAAUACUCAGAUGCUUCACCUCUCUUUUGCUUAGUUCACUCUUUCACCUACACAACUCCUCAAAUUAAACUAAGCCAUGGCUCGGAUAGAAGCUGUGAUCAUUUGCCUCUUGAUUGUGAUCAUGGAGUUUACUAAGUACUUAAUGGUGUUGUGAUUGAAAUAUAUAUACUUGUAGGGGAGGCACUUAAGGGUGUUCUUCAUUGAGUGCACUUUAUAGGGGAAAUUACUUACUAAGCCCAAGUCACACCCAAUUAUGUGGACUUUACACAGUCCUAUCUCAUGCUUGGGGCCUUUUAAAGGCCUUUCGGGCUUUGCAGACUUUAGGGCCUUCAGGGGCAUACUUUUAUGAGUUUUAUUUGGUGUAAGGCCUUGGGUCUUGGGGCCUUGGGCCUUUAAAAGGCCUUUCAGCCUUCAGGCUUUUAGGACAUUUAGGGGCUUUAGGAUUUCGGGCUUCAAAGUAUGGGCCGCGACAGUGUGUGAAAAGCCCGGCCUUCUUUCCUUAUUUGGUAAAGUCUGUUUUUGGCGUGUUUCGUUUUUUACCAAAAAAGAAAAGUUUGGGCUUUCAAUUUACAGCAUAUAUUACAACGAAGUGUACAGUGUAUCGCCCCUCGAAUGUGUGUCCAACAUGUCGGUUUAACGAAAAAUUUUAUUUUUAUUUUUAUAUAUAAUUUUUGGUUAUGCAAAAAUAAAAAUGUGUUGUUGGUAAUAUAAGCAAAAUGAAAACGGCACAAAAUAUUGCUUUCGUAUGUAACUUUUUUUUUACACAUUCUGGUUAACUUUAAUUUUAUUUCCUAAUUAAUGCAAUUGAUGCGAUGCAUAUUCUACGUGAAAUUAUCUGAUAUAAAAAUAAUGUGUGUGAUACUUAUUAGAAAAGAAAUAAUAUUUUAUUUUCCAUUUUUUCCAUUUUUUUUUUUUUGAGAGAUAGAACGGUAGCAAAUAACCCCGCUUUGUUCAUUUUUUUUUAGCUUUAGAAAUAAAAACAAUUAGAAAUGUCGUGUAGUUCGUCUAAUAUUUUUUCAAAAUGCUCAGGGGACAAGGCUACACAUAAUUCCAUGACGGAUGCAAUAGUUUUAAAAACACCAUGCCGCCCAUGCCAUGAAUAUAUAUAUCGCAUUUCCUUACAUCAUUGGCAUUACAUUUUAGGGUUUAGGGUUUGGGGUUUCGGGUUUAGGGUUUAGAGUUUUAGGGUUUGGGGUUUAGGGUUUUUUAGGGUUUAGGGUUUUAGGGUUUAGGGUUUGGGGUUUAGGGUUUUAGGGUUUAGGUUUUAGGGCUUAGGGCUUAGGGCUUUAGGGCUUAGGGGUUUAGGGUUUAGGGUUUAGGGUUUAGGGUUUAGGGUUUANAUGCAAUUGAUGUGAUGCAUAUUUUAUAUGAAAUUAUCUGUUACCAAAAUAAUAUGUGUGAUACUUAUUAGAAAAGACAUAAUAUUUUUGUUUCCUUUUUUUUUUUUUUUUAGAGUGAGAACGGUAGCAAAUAACCUCUCUUCGCUCAAUUUUAUUUUUUUUACUUUAGAAAUAAAAACAAUUAGAAAUGUAAAGCAAUAAAGUUUUGACCUUAAAAUCUCUGAGUAUUCAAUAAUAAAAAAAAAUCCUUAGCCAGAAAUGCUAGGGUUUAGAGUUUAGGUUUUAGGGUUAGGGUUUUGAAUUUUUAGGGUUUAGAAUUUAGAAUUUGGGCCCGGAAGUGGUCGGCGAAUCGGAGCUAGACUUGAUCUCGUCCAUUAAUAAAAAGUGUACUUAGUAAAACGUGCUGGACCAUUUAGUUAACACCGGUUCUCCUUCCAUCUCACAAUCACCCCCCCCUGACAAUUUUUUAAAUAGACCAUUUAUUAUUAUUAUUUUUUUUCAGUGAGACCUCUGUACUUUUUUUUUUUAAAGGAAUCAAUGUUGAGGGAGUGUAAUACACUAUUAAAUACAAAGGAUACUAUACAACGUACUAUGAUAUACAAAGUACAUUGAAAAUGGCCCCCCGGAACGGCCCACACAUAGAGGGACCUGGGCAUUAAAAGUAUAUAUUUGGGCUUAAUAGGCCGAAUUUUAUUAAUGGAUCAGGUGACGCCCAGUACUGGUUAGCCUUUUUUCUGCUCUAGGUUAAAUUGCGGUCUCGUUAAUAGCCCACAAAUGGAAAGCUUCACUUGUGGAGCAUAAUAUUAUGCUGUAAGUUGCCUUCUUUUUUCUUUUUCUUUUUUUUGGUGAUAAGUUAUUCUUUGGUUAAGGGCCUUUUUCUUUUGAGCAAUGAAAAAUAGAUAAAUUUGGAGAAAUCACACAAAAUUAUUCCUUUUUAUUUGUCGUAAUCAAAAAUAAAAUAUAUGAAGAACACCCGCUGUUUGUUUUUUAAAAAUUUAUCUUCUUUUUCUUUUUAUCGACAUGUGUAUAUGGUUUAGGGUUUUUAGGGUUUUAGGGGUUUAGUUAUUCUGACUAGUUUUGUUAUUCUAUUUUUAACGAUUUUGAAUUGAUUUUUUUUUUAUUUUUUGUUUCAAUUUCAUCGUCAUGAUUUAAGGUUGCUGUUGUUCAUGUUUUGUUGUCCACAAUUGCUGCUUCCUUUUAAUUCAUAUGUGUGCAGAGAUCAUCAUGUUUGAAAAAAUUUUAUUCUUUUGAUUAAACUUUCCAUUCUUGCAAAUUUUUUUUGGUAACAUUUUGUAGAGCAAAACCAAAUAUUC